rnacentral:rRNA from 1 species
AUUGAACGCUGGCGGAAUGCUUUACACAUGCAAGUCGAACGGCAGCACGGGGGCAACCCUGGUGGCGAGUGGCGAACGGGUAAGUAAUACAUCGGAACGUGCCCAGUCGUGGGGGAUAACUACGCGAAAGCGUAGCUAAUACCGCAUACGAACUCUGGUUGAAAGCGGGGGAUCGCAAGACCUCGCGCGAUUGGAGCGGCCGAUGGCAGAUUAGGUAGUUGGUGAGGUAAAGGCUCACCAAGCCGACGAUCUGUAGCUGGUCUGAGAGGACGACCAGCCACACUGGGACUGAGACACGGCCCAGACUCCUACGGGAGGCAGCAGUGGGGAAUUUUGGACAAUGGGCGCAAGCCUGAUCCAGCCAUUCCGCGUGCAGGAUGAAGGCCCUCGGGUUGUAAACUGCUUUUGUACGGAACGAAACGGUCCUGGUUAAUACCCGGGGCUAAUGACGGUACCGUAAGAAUAAGCACCGGCUAACUACGUG